rnacentral:lncRNA from 1 species
CGGGACGGAGCCGGCUCGUAGUCCCUCAGCCGGGCCGUCCGCGCCGCCUGCCGCUCGGGUCUCGGCGCCGCGGCGCAGGGGGCGGAGGCUGAACGGCGGCCGCGCCCCACAGCCUGCCCGCCCCGCAGCCGGAGCCGGCGCGCCUUCUCUCCAGUCCCCGGGCCGGGCUCCCCGCCCACAGCGCCCCCCGGGGCCGGGGUGCGGGGGUCUCAGGCGCGCCCUCUCCCGCGUCUCCCAGCCACGUCUGCUGCCCGGGAUGCGGAGGAGGAGUGGGGGCGGCCUCCGCAGUCCUGCCGCUUCCUCAGCCGGGCCGUCCCUAAGGCGGCCCUCGGGCCCUCGGCUGCCGGGGAGCGCCCUUCCUGGGCCAGCGCAGUGCGUGCUGAGGAAUCUCUGGUGUCGGCAACACAGAGGGAGAUACGAGAUCUGCC